AGAAGGCGGUGCCAGGAGCUGCGUAGAGAAGGGGGGGGUAAACGUAAGUAGGAAGUACGUGGCGUAAAUAUGAUGUAGGCGUGUGUGUGAGUUUGAAGUGAAAUCCUAAGGCGUAAUCAUAGAACUGCUUCCAAAACUACGUACCUAGAAUAGGGGAGAGGUAGAGGGAAUUGCUGGUGUAGGGGUAAAAUCCGGAUAGAUCAGAAGGAAUACCGAUGGCGAAGGCGAUCUACUGGAACAUUAGUGACGCUCAGAUGCGAAAGCGUGGGGAGCAAACAGGAUUAGAGACCCCAGUAGUC
rnacentral:rRNA from 1 species